rnacentral:rRNA from 1 species
GAUGAAACGCUAGCGGGAGGCUUAACACAUGCAAGUCGAGGGGCAGCAUAGGGUAGCAAUACUCUGAUGGCGACCGGCAAACGGGUGAGUAACGCGUAUGCAACCUACCCUGUACAGGGGGAUAACCCGGAGAAAUUCGGACUAAUAUCCCGUAAUAAUAUCCGGAGGCAUCUUUGGAUAUUUAAAGUUCCGACGGUACGGGAUGGGCAUGCGUAACAUUAGCUGGUUGGUAAGGUAACGGCUUACCAAGGCUAUGAUGUUUAGGGGUCCUGAGAGGGUGGUCCCCCACACUGGUACUGAGACACGGACCAGACUCCUACGGGAGGCAGCAGUGAGGAAUAUUGGUCAAUGGGCGCAAGCCUGAACCAGCCAUCCCGCGUGCAGGAAGACGGCCCUAUGGGUUGUAAACUGCUUUUCCAGGGAGAGAAACUUACGCACGUGUUGCGUGACUGACGGUACCCUGGGAAUAAGCAUCGGCUAACUCCGUG